CAGAGGUGCGAGCGUUAAUCGGAUUACUGGGCGUAAAGCGUGCGUAGGCGGCUGAUUAAGUCGGAUGUGAAUCCCUGAGCUUAACUUAGGAAUUGCAUUCGAUACUGGUCAGCUAGAGUAUGGGAGAGGAUGGUAGAAUUCCAGGUGUAGCGGUGAAAUGCGUAGAGAUCUGGAGGAAUACCGAUGGCGAAGGCAGCCAUCUGGCCUAAUACUGACGCUGAGGUACGAAAGCAUGGGAGCAAACAGGAUU
rnacentral:rRNA from 1 species